CCCUAUCGCUUUAUCCUCACUGAUGAGAAACAACUAGCAGCGUGAGGAAUCUAAAACAAUUACCUCGUUGGGCUCACUGAACUACCUGGAGAAAAAUACUUCCACGUUCAAAAACUCGGGCGUUGCCAACCCAGAUCGACCAAAAUGGACCUGACCUUGACAACAGUGGUGAGCCUCAAAAUCGUUGGCAAGCCCUCAUGAUCCCCUAAUAAGCGAUCAGUGUUGCAAGAUGAGUGUUCUACAGAGAAAUUAUGACCAAAGCGUCCCCUCAAGGCCGUAGUUUAUGGGGCUUUGACUCCUCAAGAUGCAGCUCAGGACGGAAUAGAUCGCUUCCGCCAACGAACGAAUCCCGCGUCAAGAUCUCCCGGGCAACCAUAACGACAACCAUAACCAGAUGGAUCUACUGGUUAGUUGGUUGGUCGAGAUGUGGGGCAACAUAUCUGACUUCAGGGCACCGGUGGUGUUGCUCCACUUCAAAAUAAAGAAUCAGAGCUGAUCCAUGUUCCCGAUUACUAUUUCCCCAGACCCGAAGAGUUCACAAUUUCCCUUCCAAACACCGGGGGUGGGAUUGUGGAAGAUUCUACCACUCUCUGUUAAGGAGGAAGUCGCUUCGUUUUGAUGACUUGUCGGAAGUGUGGAGUAACCUGCCUUAUGCCCGGAUCUCUUUCCCUGGAUUCGCUCGCCAUGCUAGAUGCUAGCUAGAGCUCUGGCAAACCUCAAUCAGCUUGCUUCUAGAGCUCCCCAGGCAAAGAACGAUUUGUUGGGACUCGUUCAUUGAUUUCUUUCAUCCAUCCCGUGUGGACGAGAAACACCCUUCUCAUUAGAAAACUCUGCACACCUCGGCGUGACAGUUGUGCUAAUGAUGACGAUCAGACUUACUAGUGAAGUAAUUAGAGCAGAUCAUCGAACUUGAUAAGAACGAAGAAUUGAGAUCAGAACACGUCCACAUCCAUCCAAUUCGGGAUUAGUUGCAAGUACCAAGACAAUCGCACGCUAAUUCCAAAAAAGAAAGAAAAAAAACAAUCGGAAAGUGGAGCAUCUCCACAAACCAGAUUCUUAUCAAUCAAAACCCGCUAGUAGAUGUAAUGUGAGGUAAAGCGUAAAUCGUGAAAAGUCAGCUAAAGUACCAUGUCGGAGAAUAUGUUGUAAAUAUGGUAUUGUUCAAGUCAGACAAAUUGCACCAAAAGGAAACGAGAUCCUCGAUGUCACGAAGGAACGAUUGCGAAAAGGACUUGAACUUUUCUCUCAGGCCCGACUUUCUUCUCCAUUUUUGAAUUGGCGGACGGUUGGAAAUCUCCAUCCAUCUCGGAUUCAAAGAAGCAGGAUGGAGAAAGAAUGAGACAAGCAGUUGUGCAGCACAUCAAUUCCGUGAGAGAGUGAGACUGAAACAUGGAAUCUGUUCAAUUUCCUUCUUCUUUUUCCAAAGCCAGUCUCCUAAUUCAUUGGGCAGAGCCAGCCAGGUGCAAAUCCAAACACAUUCAGAAUGGAUCGCGGGAAAAUUAUGAGGACUUAUUGCACCACUACAUUUCGACGUGAAGAGUACGAUGCUUUGACUAGGAAAUGUCAGUUUCGGGAGGCGAACUUUUGGCAUGAAAAGUGAACCUUCAUCGAUUCGCCAUCGGAUUUUUGAAUGAUCCUUUUGGGAUUGAUGUUGUGGGGUACAUUUAUGAUCAGAGUGAAAAUUAUUGAAACAAAACAAAGUGGAGCCACGAUCCUCAUUUAAUGUUUCGAGGAAACGUUUCUGAGUAAGUAUUACUAUUAUUUGAAUUGACAUGUCUUGUACAAGUUUCAAAUACUGCAUGGAGCUUCAGCAAGCAAAAUUCGAAACGGAGGUGCAAAACUGUCUGGAUCAUUUUGUAGUGAUGAGGCGAAGUGUCUGUCUGAGAGGAAGCUCGUCAAUCAAGUGAUAGACCCUUUUUAUAAAUAACAAUUACCUUGUGGUGAAACAAAGUGCUAUCAAGUCGCCCACGAAAUAACGCUAGUAUCGUACUACAUUCGAAAAGGGCAAGUCUAGCGUAGAAGGGUUUGUUGAUUAAGUAUCAUUCAAACCAAGAGUCUUCAAGUCGAAAAGAACUGUCUCUAAGAGAUAUGUCUAAUAUAAGAAGAAUAUAAUCAAAAUACAAAAACGUUUGUGGGAUUUUUGCCCAAAAUCAAUGUUAAAAUGAAGUUGGGCGGCAAGCUCAAGCGAUCACACAAGAUAAGUUUGUCCAUGUUAAUAUUUACCCAAGAGCUUUAUCCUGGGAUGUGCUGAAUUGCGUGUAUCACGUUGAACGCAUGCUAAACAAAAUGUCUUUUCUCGUUCGCCAAACGAAGUGCCCCAUUGAUUUCUUUCUGAGUAUUGUAUUCAAAUUCUUUUCUCUGAAUUUCAAUAAAAAAAAUCGAGCCAUUUUCCCUUCA